rnacentral:rRNA from 1 species
ACGGCUCAGUAACACGUGGAUAAUCUACCCUAUGGAGGGGGAUAACCCCGGGAAACUGGGGAUAAUACCCCAUAGACUAUGGAUGCUGGAAUGCUCUGUAGCCGAAAGGUCCGCCGCCAUAGGAUGAGUCUGCGGCCGAUUAGGUUGUUGUUGGGGUAACGGCCCAACAAGCCUGUAAUCGGUACGGGUUGUGGGAGCAAGAGCCCGGAGAUGGAUUCUGAGACACGAAUCCAGGCCCUACGGGGCGCAGCAGGCGCGAAAACUUUGCAAUGCGGGAAACCGUGACAAGGGAACUCCGAGUGCCCGUAAAUUCGGGCUGUCCAUCUGUGUAAAUAGCAGGUGAAGAAAGGGCCGGGCAAGACCGGUGCCAGCCGCCGCGGUAAUACCGGCGGCUCGAGUGGUGGCCACUAUUACUGGGCUUAAAGCGUUCGUAGCUGGUCUGUUAAGUCUCUGGGGAAAUCUACCGGCUUAACCGGUAGGCGUCUCAGGGAUACUGGCAGACUAGGGACCGGGAGAGGUGAGAGGUACUCCAGGGGUAGGAGUGAAAUCCUGUAAUCCUUGGGGGACCACCUGUGGCGAAGGCGUCUCACCAGAACGGCUCCGACAGUGAGGGACGAAAGCUGGGGGAGCAAACCGGAUUAGAUACCCGGGUAGUCCCAGCUGUAAACGAUGCGCGUUGGGUGUAUCGGUGACCACGAGUCACCGAGGUGCCGAAGAGAAAUCGUGAAACGUGCCGCCUGGGAAGUACGGUCGCAAGGCUGAAACUUAAAGGAAUUGGCGGGGGAGCAC